rnacentral:rRNA from 1 species
GAUGAACGCUAGCGGCAGGCUUAGUACAUACAAGUCGAGGGGCAGCACAGAUAGCAAUAUUGGGUGGCGACCGGCAAACGGGUGCGGAACACGUACACAACCUUCCUUUUAGUGUGGGAUAGCCCAGAGAAAUUUGGAUUAAUACCACAUAGUAUAUUGGAGUGGCAUCACUUUGAUAUUAAAGAUUUAUCGCUAAAAGAUGGGUGUGCGUAUGAUUAGGUAGUUGGUAGAGGUAACGGCUCACCAAGCCUUCGAUCAUUAACUGGUGUGAAGGCACGACCAGUCACACGGGCACUGAGACACGGGCCCGACUCCUACGGGAGGCAGCAGUAAGGAAUAUUGGUCAAUGGACGGAAGUCUGAACCAGCCAUGCCGCGUGAAGGAUGACGGCCCUCUGGGUUGUAAACUUCUUUUAUGUGGGACGAAAAAGGGCCAUUUUUGGUCAACUGACGGUACCAUAGGAAUAAGCACCGGCUAACUCCGUGCCAGCAGCCGCCGUAA